ACAUUUUGUGACAAACAAAAAUCUGCUAAAACAGCCUUAAAAUGAGUAUUGUUGUAUUGUAUUGUACCGCAUAGGGCUAACAUCGUUUAGGCAGCAUCGGCUCUGCAAUGAAGUACAACAGUAAUACAACAAUAAUGAAUUAUGUUCAAUAUUUAGGCUAGACUAUUUGUUUAUUUUUUAAGUUUAGCUAUCCUUAAAAUGACCGUUAAAAAACGCGGACAUUUUAUUUUGAAGGCAAACUUCUCUAUUUCCGGGUUUACACUUCAAUUUUCAUUGUACAAGUUGGAAAAUGGAACAAGCCGACUCUUUGUGCGAGAAGAGCUCUGCACAUGGACAAUGCCCAUCAUCGUCCAGCUUCCAAAAUACCAGUAGAUGCAAGAAACCACAUGUUUGACCGUGACUGCAGGUUCUGAAGCAGGUGUAUUGACAAAUGUUAUUUGCAUAAGAAAAUAUGUCCCAACCCCCCAGAAGCAUGAGCUACAGAUAGAAGCAGGACAAAUGCAUUCAGGCCACGUUAAUGUUGGUGCAAAAUUGUCCUUGAUUUUGACAAAAAUGGCACAUACCAGUCAUUGUCAGAGCUAUGCCUUGUGUCCAAAAUGUCCAUUCAGUCUGUUCAGAUUGUUUAAAAUGAACUCAUGCUCAAGCAUGCUACAAGUGGUUCAAAUGUGGUUCAGUGUGCUUUGUUCU